rnacentral:rRNA from 1 species
GGUGAACGCUGGCGGUAGGCCUAACACAUGCAAGUCGAACGGCAGCACAGUAAGAGCUUGCUCUUACGGGUGGCGAGUGGCGGACGGGUGAGGAAUACAUCUGAAUCUACUUUUUCGUGGGGGAGAACGUAGGGAAACUUACGCUAAUACCGCAUACGACCUACGGGUGAAAGCAGGGGAUCUUCGGACCUUGCGCGAUUGAAUGAGCCGAUGUCGGAUUAGCUAGUUGGCGGGGUAAAGGCCCACCAAGGCGACGAUCCGUAGCUGGUCUGAGAGGAUGAUCAGCCACACUGGAACUGAGACACGGUCCAGACUCCUACGGGAGGCAGCAGUGGGGAAUAUUGGACAAAGGGCGCAAGCCUGAUCCAGCCAUACCGCGUGGGUGAAGAAGGCCUUCGGGUUGUAAAGCCCUUUUGUUGGGAAAGAAAAGCAGCAGGUUAAUACCCCGCUGUUCUGACGGUACCCAAAGAAUAAGCACCGGCUAACUUCGUG